AUGGGAGCAGACUUAAAUGACUGCUGUUUUAUAAAAUACUUGAAAAAAAAUCAUUUAAGAGCAGGUAAUAAUUGGCAAAAAUCUGAAACUCCAGCCAUGCUGCUGGAACUGUUUGCCCUGUUUGCUGAAAAGAGUCACUUCAGUGAAUUUAUGGACAAUGAACAGCUUGUUGCUAUGCACCAUUACAGAAAGAUCUGCAAGGGGAAUGGAAAGAAGAACAGUAGGAAACGUGUUCCAUUUUGGAUGGUAGAUCAGAGCAGCACCUUACAAGCAGAAACACGCUCUGCAGAACUCAGGGUAGGGUUCUGAGCAGUCCGCACAACCAACAGCUACAGCGCUAACAGGAGGAGCUUUGCUUCAAACGAUGGAAUUCUAGAGCACAGGUGCAGGUUGGAAUGCACUAAGACUUAAAGUGAAGAUGAAAUGCUUGGUGUGAAGCUCCUUUGUGUUUUAGAAUCCAGAUUCUUUGAACACUGACCCCUCUGAGGAAGGAGAGGGAAGCAGCUCAAGAAAGAUGUCUGGUGAAAGCCUUAAUCGCAGCUGUCUGGAAGGCUGAAAUCUGUUGCUAAACCAUGUGAACCUGGCGGGCCAUUGGUUAGAAGCCGUGGCAAGCUGAGGUCUCUCAAGGAAAACACUGAAGCAUCCUGAGAAACAAAUUGCUGUAGAUAUGGAGAAUGCCUCAUCCCAUCCUCUGCUGCUGGGAGCCCUCCUGCUUUAGUUUUAUGUGGUUUGGGGCAGGUUACAUGGCUGUGUGACAUGCUGUGCAACAGAGCUGCCUGUCACUAAGGUUUCUCUGGCUGAUAACUCAGGUGUUACUGGCUAGCUGUUAUCCAAAGCUGUCUCCUAUCAUGAUGCUUUGAUUCCGUUAUGUUCUGCUAAGCCUCGCAGUAUUCCAUGUUCAUGACUUGUUUGGAGGCUGACGUGAAGAAAACAAGAUUUCCUCAGCAGCCAGAAGGCUCCAAUGAUCCUGUGGGUGUUUCCAAGUGGUGGUUUUGUCCCUAAGGCUGUGUGAGAGGGGGACACAUCAGUGGGCAAGAGGCAGAAACCUGCCCUGACCUUCUCCAUUGCUGGCCGAGGGCUUCUGAGUGCUGCUUCUGAGUGCUUCCACAACUGGCCUGUUGUGGAACUGUGGUUGGAAAGCAAAAACGUGGAGAGAAGAGUGAGGAGGAGCUUAGAAAUAACUAUAGAGUGCAGGAGUCAACAGGAUGGGGCUCUUUUAGGUGAUGCCCAGGGACAAAACAAGGAGCAAUGGGCACAAACUGGAACGCAGCAAGUUCCAUAUAACGUGAGGAAAACUUUCCUGUGGGGUGACAGAGCACUGGCACUGCAUGGAGAGGCUGCCGAGCCUCCUCCUCUGGAGAUAUUACAAUAAAACACCUGGACACUUUCCUAUGCA
rnacentral:lncRNA from 1 species